AUGGAGUCCGGCUCCCCGGCAAUCGCUGCCGGAUCAUCUGGAACAUCCUCGUCCUUGCUCAUUCCGCAAAUGUACACCUCCCCUGUUCAAGGACAAACAGCAACAACUAGAUGUUUAAACAUGGGUGCCGUUCAGUUUGAUGCACACAUACUUCAGCUUGAAGAACUGCGUACCCGUGGGGCGCGGGUAGACCUCCGGGUCGAGCAUCUUGCCGCCGGGCUCCGGCUGGUAGCUCAGGAACAGGCAGUGCGGCGUGAUCUUGUCGGGGUUGCGCGGCCGGAGCACGAUGCUGUGCGCCUUGAGCCCGGACACGUCGAACACCUCUUUGACCAUCUCGAAACGCCCAGACCAAGGGCCGAGCGCGAGCACCACGGCAUCCGCGUCCACCACGCCGCGCCCCUUCACCGCGACGCCGACGACACGCCCUUCGUUGACCACCACGCGCUCCACCUCGCCGAUGACCGCCUCGGCGCCGGACGCGGCGAGGACGGCCUUGGUGAAGAGGCCCGGAUGGACCUGCGCGGUGGUGUCCGGAGUUCCGAGCUGGCGCGGCGGCGCGGCGGAGGCGGAGGGGUCGACCCAGGAAGGGAGGAGCGGGUGGGGUGA
rnacentral:rRNA from 1 species